AACGCUGGCGGCGUGCUUAACACAUGCAAGUCGAACGGAAAGGCCCUUCGGGGUACUCGAGUGGCGAACGGGUGAGUAACACGUGGGUGAUCUGCCCUGCACUCUGGGAUAAGCCUGGGAAACUGGGUCUAAUACCGGAUAGGACCACACACUUCAUGGUGAGUGGUGCAAAGCUUUUGCGGUGUGGGAUGAGCCCGCGGCCUAUCAGCUUGUUGGUGGGGUAAUGGCCCACCAAGGCGACGACGGGUAGCCGGCCUGAGAGGGUGACCGGCCACACUGGGACUGAGAUACGGCCCAGACUCCUACGGGAGGCAGCAGUGGGGAAUAUUGCACAAUGGGCGCAAGCCUGAUGCAGCGACGCCGCGUGAGGGAUGACGGCCUUCGGGUUGUAAACCUCUUUCAGUAGGGACGAAGCGAAAGUGACGGUACCUACAGAAGAAGGACCGGCCAACUACGUGCCAGCAGCCGCGGUAAUACGUAGGGUCCGAGCGUUGUCCGGAAUUACUGGGCGUAAAGAGCUCGUAGGUGGUUUGUCGCGUUGUUCGUGAAAACUCACAGCUUAACUGUGGGCGUGCGGGCGAUACGGGCAGACUAGAGUACUGCAGGGGAGACUGGAAUUCCUGGUGUAGCGGUGGAAUGCGCAGAUAUCAGGAGGAACACCGGUGGCGAAGGCGGGUCUCUGGGCAGUAACUGACGCUGAGGAGCGAAAGCGUGGGUAGCGAACAGGAUUAGAUACCCUGGUAGUCCACGCCGUAAACGGUGGGUACUAGGUGUGGGUUUCCUUCCUUGGGAUCCGUGCCGUAGCUAACGCAUUAAGUACCCCGCCUGGGGAGUACGGUCGCAAGACUAAAACUCAAAGGAAUUGACGGGGGCCCGCACAAGCGGCGGAGCAUGUGGAUUAAUUCGAUGCAACGCGAAGAACCUUACCUGGGUUUGACAUGCACAGGACGUACCUAGAGAUAGGUAUUCCCUUGUGGCCUGUGUGCAGGUGGUGCAUGGCUGUCGUCAGCUCGUGUCGUGAGAUGUUGGGUUAAGUCCCGCAACGAGCGCAACCCUUGUCCUAUGUUGCCAGCGGGUAAUGCCGGGGACUCGUAGGAGACUGCCGGGGUCAACUCGGAGGAAGGUGGGGAUGACGUCAAGUCAUCAUGCCCCUUAUGUCCAGGGCUUCACACAUGCUACAAUGGCCAGUACAGAGGGCUGCGAAGCCGCAAGGUGGAGCGAAUCCCUUAAAGCUGGUCUCAGUUCGGAUUGGGGUCUGCAACUCGACCCCAUGAAGUCGGAGUCGCUAGUAAUCGCAGAUCAGCAACGCUGCGGUGAAUACGUUCCCGGGCCUUGUACACACCGCCCGUCACGUCAUGAAAGUCGGUAACACCCGAAGCCAGUGGCCUAACCUUUUGGAGGGAGCUGUCGAAGGUGGGAUCGGCGAUUGGGACGAA
rnacentral:rRNA from 1 species